rnacentral:rRNA from 1 species
UACGGAGGGGGCUAGCGUUGUUCGGAAUCAUUGGGCGUAAAGGGCGCGUAGGCGGCCUGCCAAGUCGGGUGUGAAAUCCCUCGGCUCAACCGAGGAACUGCACUCGAUACUGGCUGGCUAGAGUCCGGGAGGGGAUGGUGGAAUUCCCAGUGUAGCGGUGAAAUGCGUAGAUAUUGGGAGGAACACCAGUGGCGAAGGCGGCUCACUGGACCGGUACUGACGCUGAUGCGCGAAAGCGUGGGGAGCAAACGGGG